GAUGAACGCUGGCGGCGUGCUUAACACAUGCAAGUCGAACGAAGCACCUCUCCCGAAGAUUGACACAGCUUGCUGUAGAUUGAUUCAUUUGAGGUGACUGAGUGGCGGACGGGUGAGUAACGCGUGGGUAACCUGCCUCAUAGAGGGGGGACAACAGUUGGAAACGACUGCUAAUACCGCAUAGUAAGAAAGAUUCGCAUGUUUCUUCUUGAAAGAUUUAUCGCUAUGAGAUGGACCCCGCGUCUGAUUAGCUAGUUGGUAAGGUAACGGCUUACCAAGGCGACGAUCAGUAGCCGGCUUGAGAGAGUGAACGGCCACAUUGGGACUGAGACACGGCCCAGACUCCUACGGGAGGCAGCAGUGGGGAAUAUUGCACAAUGGGGGAAACCCUGAUGCAGCGACGCCGCGUGAGUGAAG
rnacentral:rRNA from 1 species